ACCUACGAGGGCGAGCGGCGGGGCACGGGACCGACAGGGGACGGGGUGAGGCUCCCAACGCUGAGCGAUUCCUUCUCGUUCCCGCUGGCGUGGAAGACGAGGCUUGUCUUGACUUCGAAUCGUAUUAAUAUUUCAGACACUUAACAGGCAACCUCUCGUAGGCAUUGACUGCGUCCCAGGGGCUGUACCUGUCCGAGCUGAUUAAGCGUGCGCGGUCACCCAGGGGUGAGGAAACAGGGACGGCGAGCUCGAGUCACUCGGCAGCCGGCAGAUCCAGGAUUCGAACCUGUCCAACAGGCCGGACGCCUACCCCCAGCUCACUUAAGUGCAAGCUCGCCUGCCGCCGCUGGCGCACAGACCUCGUUUGCUUUGGCCCAGGUCCUUGCUCGGCACACGGGGCCUCCCUGAUACGCAGGACCCCUGCCUGUAUUUCCAACUGUAUUUCCUACUAAACUUGGCACAACCUCACUCUGCAACAGCUUAAUUACUUACUGUUUCCGGUCCUCACCCUCCCCCACCUCACCGUACACCUCCGCAUUCAAUCUGGACUCCUCCACUUCAACUUCACCACCACUCAGAUCCAAACCCGCACUUUAUUCCUGGGUACCUGAAAAAUAACUACUAGCUGGUCAUCGGUCUCCCUCCGCUCCACUCGCUCCCAUCCACGGGGCACCGUUUUAUGAUCUAAAAAUUGCACAUCAAAUUAUGCUCACCUCCACCUUGCUCCCGAAGGCGCCUAUGGCCUUGCUAGUCUACCCUCCCCUACCUGUUUGCCCUCACUUCCCGCCACUCUCCCGCUGCCCCCCCCACCCCUCCCCCGCACCCCACCUCUUUUUCCCAGUUCAUCCAGCAAGCCAAGCUGGUUCCAGCCUCAGAGACUUGGCGCAGCUGAUCUCUGAUUCCUCUGGGAGGACUCUGCGCCCCUUCUGAUCCAAAGCACAUGCUUACCCAGUCCCGUAUUCCCACCUCUGUCUGAUCUGUUUGCUCUUAGAGCUCUCAUCACCCGUUGUUUUGUUGAGUUCCUUCCCUGCUCCUUCACUGUCUCUCCCUCUCUGGAAUGUAGGCUCCUGGAGCCCAGGAACUGUGUCCUAUUCACUGUGUGUGCCCAGGAAGACUCUUGGUGCAUAUUUGUUAAAUACAUGAAUGCUUUAUUA
rnacentral:lncRNA from 10 species